ACGCUGGCGGUAGGCUUAACACAUGCAAGUCGUGCGAGAAAGUAUCUUCGGAUAUGAGUAGAGCGGCGGACGGGUGAGUAACGCGUAGGAAUCUACCUAGUAGAAGGGGAUAGCCCGGGGAAACUCGGAUUAAUACCGUAUACCUCCUUAGGGAGAAAGAGGGCCUCUCUUGAAGCUCUCGCUAUUAGAUGAGCCUGCGUAAGAUUAGCUUGUUGGUAAGGUAAUAGCUUACCAAGGCUACGAUCUUUAGCUGGUCUGAGAGGACGAUCAGCCACAUUGGGACUGAGACACGGCCCAGACUCCUACGGGAGGCAGCAGUGGGGAAUAUUGGACAAUGGGCGCAAGCCUGAUCCAGCCAUACCGCGUGUGUGAAGAAGGCUCUAGGGUUGUAAAGCACUUUAAGCAGGGAGAAAAAGUUAUAAAUUAAUACUUUAUAACCGUGAUGUUACCUGCAGAAUAAGCACCGGCUAAUUCCGUGCCAGCAGCCGCGGUAAUACGGAAGGUGCAAGCGUUAAUCGGAAUUACUGGGCGUAAAGCGCGCGUAGGUGGUUUGUUAAGUUGGAUGUGAAAGCCCUGGGCUCAACCUAGGAACUGCAUCCAAAACUAACUCACUAGAGUACGAUAGAGGGAGGUAGAAUUCAUAGUGUAGCGGUGGAAUGCGUAGAUAUUAUGAAGAAUACCAGUGGCGAAGGCGGCCUCCUGGAUCUGUACUGACACUAAGGUGCGAAAGCGUGGGUAGCGAACAGGAUUAGAUACCCUGGUAGUCCACGCCGUAAACGAUGACAACUAGCUGUUGGAAGACAAUGUCUUUCAGUGGCGCAGCUAACGUUUUAAGUUGUCCGCC
rnacentral:rRNA from 1 species